AACCAGCUUGGUGUAGAGGUUUGUGCACUGGAUUAUGACUCUGGAGACCAGGGUUCAAAUCCCAGUUUGGUCA